ACCUCUGCAAUAGGCGAAAGCUUGACAGGGUUACUCUGAGUGAUGCCCGCUAAGGGCAUCUUUUGGCACCUCUAAAAAUGGUGCAGAAUAAGGGGUGGGCAAGUCUGGUGUCAGCCGCCGCGGUAAUACCAGCACCCCGAGUGGUCGGGACGAUUAUUGGGCCUAAAGCAUCCGUAGCUUGUUCUGCAAGUCUUCCGUUAAAUCCACCUGCUCAACAGAUGGGCUGCGGGAGAUACUACAGGGCUAGGAGGCGGGAGAGGCAAGCGGUACUCAGUGGGUAGGGGUAAAAUCCUCUGAUCCACUGAAGACCACCAGUGGCGAAGGCGGCUUGCCAGAACGCGCUCGACGGUGAGGGAUGAAAGCUGGGGGAGCAAACCGGAUUAGAUACCCGGGUAGUCCCAGCUGUAAACGAUGCAGACUCGGUGAUGGGUUGGCUUUGAGCCAACCCAGUGCCGCAGGGAAGCCGUUAAGUCUGCCGCCUGGGGAGUACGGUCGCAAGACUGAAACUUAA
rnacentral:rRNA from 1 species